UUCAAUUUCCACUAUUCUCAUAAGUGUCCUUAAUCCCACACUCUUCCAAAUUCCAAAACUGUCAAAAAAUGUCCUUAAUCCCACUCUUCCAAAUUCCAAAACUGUCAAAAAAAAAGUUUAAAUUCUUCUUCUUCUUUACUGUCCCAAAAUCUCUCUCGUCCUUUUUCUCUCUCACACGAACUCUCCUCUUCUUCUUUUCAUUCUUCUUCUUCCUUCCUCCUUUUCAAUCUGACUUUUUUGAUUUUGUUCUUUCAGAAAGUAUGUAAUCGCUAUUCGAGUGGGUAAAUCAACGAUUUGGUUACUUCAAACGGUAGGACAGGGAAUCCUUCCAUCAAUUUGGGAAUUUCUACUCAGUUCUAUGAUGCCAAGAGUAAAUUUGAGGAAAGAGAGGAGAUAAGGCAGCGUAGAAGGUUGAAGCUGUUUUGCUGCUUUUGGGAUACCCGUGAUUUGGUGGGUCGACAUGAUUUAUGUGAAAGGGGAAAAGGUGUGGUGAUGUUGGCUCACGCGGAAGGGGAAGAUUCGUCGGCGGUGGUUUUGAUGCAAGCUUGGCAACGGUUGUUGAUUUUGGUCUUUCGAUGUCAGGGUCAUCCGAUUUACUGUUCUGUUUUAAAAGGGAUCAACGACGCGGUUAUGAUCCGGAUUGAUGACGCGGUUUCGUCAUUUGUUGCAAAGUUGUUGAUUCCGUUUGCUGCCGAUCAUGGGAAACUGGACUAAGCAGCCGAUUGCUAUAUCAAAACAUGAACUCGAAGGUCACAACUUUUAAUUGUUCAUGAAUUAUACUUCUCUAUAUUUUGAUUUCUAACAAAUUGGGAUAUCUAAAUAAUGGUCUUCCACAAGAUAGAGCAACACCUUGGUUUGACAAGAGCUUCUUGAUUAUUGCAUUGCUGAACUGGGAGGGAAAGUGGUGUAUGGUGGCAUUGUUAACAUCAGAAGCAAUCCUGAAACUAGAGUCAAUGAAUUUAGCUUGGCAUUGACUAUGAGCAGGACUGAUGCACCCUCCUACUACAUCCCCCAUUUCAUCUACUUGACUACAGCUUAUUGAGAGCAUGGUAACAUUGACAGAUUGCACAGCCUGGAAGUUGUAUCGAGUUAUUGUUGAAUAUCUUCAAAAAAUUGAUCAAAAGUUGGAUAGUGCAAAGAGGGAUUGGCUUGCUAUUUACGAUGAAUGUGCCUCUGUCUUAUAUCAGCUACUCCUACAACAUUAGAGGAGGCCAAUGCUACUGAAUGCAUAAUAAUAUAUUUAAGUGUCAGCUGGCUCAUAUAGUGCCGCCCUCGAAUCUUGAUUUCGUACAGCAAAAAAAGAUGUAUCUGUAAGCUGAAACUCAAGGACUACAAGCACACAAAGAAGGGUUCAUUCUUCUUUGGUGGACUUUCAAUCAUCACAAGUGCUGCCAGAAAUGUGGAGAUAUGGAGGAGGAUUCAGGAAUCACGGUGCUUCAGGAUAAGUUCAAUAAGCAUGGAAAUCUUCUUGCUGUAAGUACGGCAGAUAGUGGUGUUAAAAUUCUCGCUAAUGCAGAGGGUUUAAAUCCAUGAGGCCCGUCGAUGCUACUGAUCUAAAGCUUUGUAUCUGCUUUAAUUCGGCAGCAUGAUUAAGGUUUCUCAAAUUCUUCGCAUAAUUACAUUUUAUUCUACACAACUUCCCGUUCCAAACUACCACUGUCGCGAGGUAUGAACGGUUGAUAUAUGCAAUUGUAAUCCGUAAUAUUGCGUGAGUGAGUGUUAAGUGGCAGAAGGAACUUUUCAAAGAUGUAGAGAUUGAUACCAGCCAGCCCCCUUAUGUUACUGAGGUCCUAAAUAACAUUGAGAUCAAUUUCAUGCAAAUGAUUGGUGGGUCACUUUAAUGAUGUGGUUAUCUGUUACAUUGUGUAGUCAUCCUCAUAUGAUUCAAAUGUUUGAUUGUUGAUUGUAACUGCAUUCAUCAUUCUGUCUACUUUGCACAAACUGAUUCUUGAAGAAGUGUAUGAAGAUUCUAUGGAGCUAAAUUACAGUUAGAAUCAGAAGAGUAUGUACUGUGGUCGCAGAUCUACAAACUUCUUGGCACACAUGCUUACUUUAUGUCACAUACAUGUAGGUGAUGAUUGUCAAUUAUGGCAUGUUUCUUUUGGUAGGUAGCUGAUUCUAAAAUCUAAAGUAAAUUCUAAAAUAUCAAUUGUGAUUGUGAACUUAAAUCAGAUUACUAUCUCAAUUAUAUUUUAUUUUAUUAGUAGUUUAAUUUCAUGGCUCAUUAAGAAA